rnacentral:rRNA from 1 species
UACGUAGGGCGCAAGCGUUGUCCGGAAUUAUUGGGCGUAAAGAGCUCGUAGGCGGCCUGUUACGUCUGCUGUGAAAUCCCGGGGCUUAACCCCGGGCGUGCAGUGGAUACGGGCAGGCUGGAGGCAGGCAGGGGAGAACGGAAUUCCCGGUGUAGCGGUGAAAUGCGCAGAUAUCAGGAAGAACACCCGUGGCUAAGGCGGCUCUCUAGUACGGUACUGACGCUGAGACGCGAAAGCGUGGGGAGCGAACAGG